rnacentral:rRNA from 1 species
GAUCAUGGCUCAGGAUGAACGCUGACAGAAUGCUUAACACAUGCAAGUCUACUUGAACUUCGGUUUGGGUGGCGGACGGGUGAGUAACGCGUAAAGAACUUGCCUUACAGUUAGGGACAACAUUUGGAAACGAAUGCUAAUACCUGAUAUUAUGAUUUUAGGGCAUCCUAAGAUUAUGAAAGCUAUAUGCACUGUGAGAGAGCUUUGCGUCCCAUUAGCUAGUUGGGAGAGGUAACGG